CUGACUUGUGAUGCUACACAGCUGUUGUGUAGCUCUGGCAUGCUGCGCACAUCCAAAGUCCUCUCUCAUGACUGUCUUCUCGGAUCUUGUCUGUCUUCCUCCCCAUCCUCCUCUCCUCCAUUCCAUGUUGCCAUCAAUGUCCAGUCUCUCAGCCUGGCAGUGAAAAGUGGCUCAAUAGUUUGUUUACAUUUCUUUGGGACUGCAGUACUCCAAGGAAGAACUCCAAGUAGCAACUGGCCAAGAUGAAAUGCUCUGUUGUUUAUCAGUGGACAAAGCUGUCUGAAUGAAGAGUUUCUCAUAGAGAGCAUUAGAGGCCAAAAAUAGCAACAAAAAAUAGCAAUGGCUUGCUGGGGUUGAAGGGGCAGCCAUGUUUGUUUACAGUUACUAAACGCGACAGAGGCGGAAGCAAGCUUGUGUGUGAUGAUGAGUGUCGACAAAAGUUGACAGUCUUCAGAAAGUUGACAGAAAAAGGUGAUGAAAACAUACUAGUGUGACACCACCUUACCCUCUGUCUCUGUCUUUCUUUCUCUCCCUGUUUCAAUCUAAAUUGGUGAAUUUAUGAAAUUAUUUCCAAAAUCCUUUUAACUUUUGUUCCACAUCACCGUUCAGGUAAAAAUCAAAGCGUGUUCUCUAUAGAAAAGUCUCCCUCCCUUCUAAACAUGGUAUUUGUGCAAGGAACUGCAACCGAGUCUUGAGUGCUGAUACCUCUACACACACCUUACACAUACAAUUCCACUAUGGAUUAUUGUCCUGCUGCUAGCUCGCUAUAUGGCCACCCUCACAGCUAAUAUCUAAGGCAGUAGCAAUGUGAACAAGUACUUCUAGGAAGAAGUAUAAGAGAGAGAGAGAGAGAGAGAGAGAGAGAGAGAGCGAGAAGCAGUUGUGGUGUUACUUCCGCCAGUUCUUAGGACAAUUUGGUCAUUAUGUCAUCUAGGAGAAGAAAACCUAGUCUAUUUCAUACUAAAUUACCAUCAGCUAAAAGGAAAAAGAAAUCAAAUUGUAGACCUCCAAAGACCAGUAAGUGAAGGCAAAAAUCAAGUGACUGGGGAGUCUUUUGUUUAUAUCAUCUGCACUUCAUCAACCCAAGUGCUCUCUCUCUCUCUCUCUCUCUCUCUCUCUCUCUCUCUCUCUCUCUCUCUCUCUCUCUCUCUCUCUGUGUGGCAGUGUCAUUAUCCUCGCUUGCCCAACAACUAUCAAAUAGAAAUGCAUAACUAUCAAUUUACACUAGCAGGUCAUGGGUCCAACCAACCUGGGAUCCCAUUUCACCAAGAGUGUCACUCUGGUAACCCUACAGCCAAGAAGUUGUGGUUCUCCACCUUAUUACAAGUUUUGUAAAUUGUAGGCUAACAAAAUGAGUAACAAUGGUAUCUAUGCAGGAAUAAUUAAACACAGACCUUUUCUUGGAUUGUUUAUCGUGUCAUAUGUGUGAGGCCAUGCAAGAACUAUGGAUUCGUAAAAAAAAAAAAAAAAAACUGCCUUUAAAGUCCCCCAAAAUUGCUUAGUAUCUGACCAGUCCAUUACUAAGUGAAAUCUAUUAUUGUGAGGCCCUUUAUUGCGAGGCACCACUAUAUAUGAAUAAACCAACCCCAAAAAUAUUGGUGAAACAUAAUGAAAGUAAACAAUUAAAGCUUAAUUUACCACAGAUUUUGAGGUUAGAAGGUUUAGAAUUAAAAGUCCUACAUAACUUAGAAAAAAAAAAAAAAAUGAAUAAAAAAAAAAUAUCUGAGACAGUUAAAGUUUUGCUGUACAGCUCCUUUGCUGCAUACUAUGAACUAAUGACCUAUAUUCAUAAAAACUAAUUAUAAGAUCAUCGUAACCUACAUAGGUAAGUGUGUGAUGAUCAUGGUUCCUCUUAGGCUGUGCUGUCCAACUAUGUGUUGUCAUGCGUGACGUGGAGCGCUGAUACCAAAGCCAGAUUUCAUCUGGAGUUUGGGAAGAGAAAAUGAUGUGGUGGACCACAACACCAGAAAAACAACCACUCGCAAAGCAUAACAUUGAAUCUAGAUUAUCAAAGAACUUGAGUAAAUGACAGCAAAUCCAUAUACAGAUAUGCACGGAACAACAAUAACCCCUCUCAAAAAAAGAUAAUAUGUUAUCUUGUUCAAUUCCAAAAUCUUAAUACAUACAGGGGAUCCUUGUGAUUUGACCGUUCGAAGUUCCAAUUAUCGUCAAUUCGAACUCAGUUGAUUAAUACACAAUCCUCAAGGAUUGACCGACUGACUCGCCAAUUGGAAAUUCAUAUCUCGAGCGCCACCUACCCAGUCAAAUCCACUGCCAGCACAAAUUCGCUGCCAGCCUGCCAGGCAGAAGUGUAAACUGAUGCUACCCUGUGCGUCGCUUCCUCUGCCUCACUCUUGUCCCAGCCGUCGUCCAGGCAGGCCACGCUCUGCUGUUCCAUCUCCUGCCUCCAUGCCACUUCAACCAUGUCGUGCAAAGCCAUCUCCAGCCCCAGCCCUAAGAAGUACAAUUUCCUGCCUUUCAAAGACAAGCUUGAGCUUAUAAGAAAGUGUGAGGCAGGUAUAGCUCGCAGUGUCGUUGCAGUGCAAAUGGGUGUCCCUAGAUCAACAGUAUCAACAAUUUAAAACAACAUGGACAAGUACCGCGAGACUGCUGCAUCAACAACUUCCACGACUUCCCUUGUUCUCUGCGGCUCAAGGGACUCCUGUCUCGACAUGAUGGAGGACAUGCUGAUCAAGUGAAUAGAGGACAGGACACAACACAAGAUGCCGAUCAGCAUGGGCCUCUUUCAGGAGCAUCCCUUGUCACUGUGGCGUGACUUGCUCUCAAUAACAUCUACCACCAGCAGGACACAAGACAUAUUCACGGCGAGCAGGGGCUGGUUCCAGUGAUUCCGGGAGUGAACUGGCCUCCACAAUGUCAGCAUGAGUGGGGAAGCUGCCAGCUAAGACGAAGAAGCUGCGAGGGCCUUCCUGGAAUUGUUAAAAAACGAGUGGAGGAGGGCGGCUUCACACCCAAGCAGGUGUUCAUCAUCGACGAGAUGGGCCUCUUCAGGAAGAAGAUGCCUACAUGCAUGUACAUUUCCAAGGAGGAAAAGCAGGCCCUGGGCUUCAAGGCAGCUAAGGACCGGGUGAUGGUGGCCAUGGGUUAUGAUGGGCACUACCUUGUUACUGCAGAGUAAUGUAAUGUUCUACCGUAUGAUGUACUACGACCGUGGGUAUUAUUCCGCCUCACUGGCAGAAAAAGUUUGUGAAGUAAUUGAUGCCUCAUUAAGGGAAGGUGUAGUGCCCCAAGACUGGAAAAGAGCUAACAUUGUCCCAAUCUAUAAAUCAGGUAACAAGAGAGACCCAUU
rnacentral:lncRNA from 1 species